rnacentral:rRNA from 1 species
UACGUAGGGGGCUAGCGUUGUCCGGAAUCAUUGGGCGUAAAGCGCGCGUAGGCGGCCCGGUAAGUCCGUUGUGAAAGUCAAAGGCUCAACCUUUGAAAGCCGAUGGAUACUGCCGGGCUAGAGUCCGGAAGAGGCGAGUGGAAUUCCCGGUGUAGCGGUGAAAUGCGUAGAUAUCGGGAGGAAGACCAGUGGCGAAGGCGGGUCUCUGGACAGUUCCUGACGCUGAGGCACGAAGGUCAGGGGAGCAAACGGG